GCUCUUCCCUCUUAUGAGUUUGAAUAACUGUCUUAAAUUUAUUUGAGGACAACCAAUCCUUUCUUUUUUCAAUAAUACUUUAGAAGUGAAUUACUGAAACCAACGUUCAUCAUGUGUAUCCCAGCUGUAUUUUGUCCCAGUUGAGAUUCUGAAGCUCACAGGGAGUGUGUGUGAAGAUUUCCCACAAGGAGCAUUUCUGAGACCAUCUAUAGCAGUGAUUGAGGGGUCUAGAGGAAUAAAAGAGCCCUGCAAGUAUAAGAUGAAUUAUAAGAUACUCAAACCCACUUUCAUGAAAGGGGUUGAUACUGGGUCCAAUCUUGUUCAAUAUCUUCAACAAUCACCUGGAUGAAGUGAUAGAGUCCACCCUCAGCAAGUUUGCUGAUGAU
rnacentral:lncRNA from 1 species